rnacentral:rRNA from 1 species
CCUACGGGUGGCAGCAGUGGGGAAUAUUGGACAAUGGGGGAAACCCUGAUCCAGCGACGCCGCGUGGGUGAAGAAGGCCUGCGGGUUGUAAAGCCCUUUCGGUAGGGAAGAAAUCUCUUGUCUUAACACGGCAGGAGUUUGACUUAACCUACAUAAGAAGCACCGGCUAACUCUGUGCCAGCAGCCGCGGUAAUACAGAGGGUGCGAGCGUUAAUCGGAAUUACUGGGCGUAAAGCGCACGUAGUCGGCUUGCCAAGUCGGGUGUGAAAUCCCCGGGCUCAACCUGGGAACUGCAUCCGAAACUGGCUUGCUAGAGUAUGGGAGAGGGAGGCGGAAUUUCUGGUGUAGCAGUGAAAUGCGUAGAUAUCAGAAGGAACAUCAGUGGCGAAGGCGGCUUCCUGGACCAAUACUGACGAUCAGGUGCGAAAGCGUGGGGAGCAAACAGGAUUAGAUACCCUUGUAGUC